rnacentral:sRNA from 1 species
GACUGCUGUAUCAUCCGCGUCAGCCUGGACGUGGACAACGGCAACAUGUACAAGAGCAUCCUGGUGACCAGCCAAGAUAAGGCUCCAGCCGUAAUCCGCAAGGCCAUGGACAAACACAACCUGGAGGAGGAGGAGCCGGAGGACUAUGAGCUGCUGCAGAUUCUCUCAGAUGACCGGAGUAAGUCAGAAGACCAGAGGGCGAUGGCGGAGGGGGCAGGUCCGCACCACUCCCCUCCCCAGGUUGGAAGGCUUUGGCCCCAGAAAAUUCACCAGCAGAGUGUGGGUAGACACUGUGGACAGGGCAGCCCUGGCUGCCCCCAUUGUCUGCUUGCUGUCCGCAGCCACCACUGGACCUCCCCAGUGUGUGCCCUUCCCUAGGCGUGAACAGGCAGUUCAAAGCUCACAUCAGUGAGGAGCAAAGAGAAAAGGCAUUUUCACUGGGACAGGUUAGCCAGGUGGCCCACUGGAAGGGA